ensembl:miRNA Mir6358 microRNA 6358
CCCAGUGUGGCAGUAUACAGCUAUAAUUCCACUGAGGUGAUAUACACCCAUAAUCCCAGUGUGGUGGCAUGCCCCUAUGUGAUGGUUUGUAUAUCCUUGGA